AUAAAGGGACUUUUUUUAAUUUCCCCUAUUAAUGCCAAUACUACUGUACAUUAUCCCAGCUGUUUUUUUAAUAAUUGUAAAGGUUUUCCCUUUUUAAAUAAAACACUAAAUAAAUGAUGCUGAUAUUAUUUGUCACUGUCAAAUUAUAAACAUGGAAUUUACAACGUAAUACUGUUUUGUAUGCAUUAUUAUGUGGAAAUUGCUUCUGAUCAAGUUUGUACUUUAAUUUAAAAUUAUACAGGUUCCAUGUUAUAAUGGUUGAUGCAUUACAGUGAUAAUAUGCUAUAUUAAUAUAUAUAUACAAUAUAUAAAUAAAUAUAUGGGGUACAUGUUCAAUGUAAAUAAUUUAAAAAAAUGAAAAUUUUACCAGGAAGAAGAAUGAAUGUCAUAAUUGAGACACAUGCCCGGUAGAGAAAUCUUUAAAUUCGGGCACUUUUUCAUCAUUACAAGCAAGUCAUAUUUUAAUACAAAAGUGUUAGUGACUUUUCUCUUUAAUAAAUGUGAAUUAUUUACUAGGUUAAAACAGUUCUGUGUACUGACGAUUUGUUUUUGAUGUACAGAAUUCAGCAAGUGUUUUUCCCCUACAUGCAGUCAUGUGAAGUGGGAGGUCAACAAGAUCCGUUACUGUUAUUAAAUUAAAGCAAUUAUCAAACCAUGAAUUGAAAAAAUUCAGUUUAAUAAAUGCCUCCUAUAUCAUUGAAAAUGCAAAUUAUUGGUCUUUAUUAAAAUUAUAGCAGAUUUUUGUGAUGACAAAGAGGAACUCUUGCAUAAUUUACUCUAAAGAUGGAUUGUCAAGUGUACAAGUUUAUACACAGGCAUAAGUGCCAGCUUGAAAUAAAUUCACAUUAUAUAGAGUUGCCAUGUCAAGAUUGCAUUAGCAGAUUUUAUGCACCAUGCAGUUAGAAUUCAUAAAAAUUAACACGAGGUGGGGGAUUGCAUUAUUAUUUGUGCAUUUGUAAAUUAAAAGGAUAUAUUUUUACAUUGCGAGUUUGAUUUAGAAAAAAAAUAUGAAUAAAUUUCACAAGCAUUUGAAAGUCAUGGAAUAUGUAUCUGGUUUUUGCCCAUGUGAAAUUUAUACAAUUAAGGCAAAAAUGGCUGUGUAUAUGGAAUAUUUGCUUGACAUUUUACCCUAACCUUACCCUGUAUUUCUUUAAUUAUUUGUACAUCUAUUACACUUGUUAAGAGAAAAGUUAAAAGGCCUCAUCAACAGAUGUCUUUAUGUUGGUGAUUGUCAACUUCUCUGUUUUUAUUAAUUUUUUUUUUUGUUCAAAUAGAGACAAUAAAGCUUAUGGUAAUGAC
rnacentral:sRNA from 1 species